AGAAAGUCGAGUUGAGAGGGUAGACCUCCUGUUUGUAGGAGAGAAGCCAUGAAGCGGAGAGACAGUUAGGUGGGAGGAAUGAGGAAGCCAGUCUCAUGGCUGGCCCACAGCCUGCGAGGAGACAUGCUGCGGAACGCUCUAGCCACGUGUGAAUUGGAAUUCAGAGACAUGAAGAGAAUCAGUACUCUGACAGAAGGAGGCAGAAGCUGAUGGCUGCUCUGAGAGGCCGUGAGGGAUGUGGGCCAAAGUCACGAGAAGUUUCACUUGGGUAUGUAAAUAUUGCUGAUGUGGCAUAUCUGCCUCCAUUCGAUACAUACAAAAAUGGCAGCGAGCAGGCUCCAGAUGUGAAAGGAUGGAAGGUCCGUGUGACUCUAACCUUCAGGACAGACUCCUAGAGGAAAGCACAAACAUAGGGGACAGUGCCAGACGGAGGAGAGAGACACACAGACAGAUGGAGUUGAAGGUGCCGUACAUUCUGGAAAGACAGUUCUCAUCUUUACCCUCACUUCCUUCCCCCUGCAAAAGGACAGAACCGUAAAAAGCACCUAGUAUGAACAUCAGUAAAAAACUUAUAAAUUUUAUUAUGCAAUGACUAUUAGGCAAUCAUAGUCCUGUUUAACAGGUUAAUUCUGGCUAAAGAUAAAAGCAAAGUGAUUUAACUGAGGGCAAAACCAAAACGGGUAAAAAUAUGUAAAAGGAAGAAUUAUGUAGGAAUACUAAUGUUAUGCUAACAUUCAGAAUGAGCUAAACUUUGUAGAAGACGUAAAGAACAAUAUGUUAGCUAUUGUACUUGGUAAGUCAAAUGCAAUUUAAAAAGCCUUGUUUCUUUAUGAUUUUUACUAAUCUUGAUAUUUUGCAAAGACUUUACUUCUUAGAGUAGAUGCUAAAAUUUUAAGAGGACAAAAGGAAAAUGAUCAGCUUCUCUUUUCUAGCCAGGGGAGUGAUCUUUAAAUUGUAAAGGGUAGAACAAUAAAAGGAUUAUAAGAGAAUAUAAUGAACGAUUGCAUGCCAACAAAUGAAAUAAUCUGGAUGAAAUGGACAAAUUCUUAGAAAGACAUAAACUACCAAAAUU
rnacentral:lncRNA from 1 species